AUGAAGAAAUAUAUUCUUACUUUAUUAAUGUUUCUGUGGCUGCAGCUGGGUGGGGUGAGCCACGUCAAGAAAGUAGAAGAGCAUCUUCCCACCCUGAGAGUUCAGGAGGGAGCCAGUGCUGUCACCACCUGCACAUAUGUACAUAGUGUCUCGUCCUAUGUCCCUUGGUAUAAUCAAGGACCUGGAAAGCAUCCUAAACUCACUGUUGACAUUCAUUCAAAUAUGGAAAGAAAUUUGGAUCAAAACUUGAUAGUUUUCCUGGAUAAGAAAGCCAAACAUUUCUCCCUGCACAUCACAGGCAUCCAACCUGGAGACUCUGUCAUGUACUUCUGUGCUGCAAGUGCAUCCUGCUCCCCACGUGCCUACAGUCUCUCCUCAAACUUUCCAGGAGGUCUGAAAUCCCAUCCACUUCCUGUGGCACAGGCCUUCCAGUGCAGCGUUUGUCAGCUACAUCUGUGGUGCAAGGUGAAGGAAAACCAGCAGAGGGCACUGCCUCUCCAGAUGUGGUUAAAGUGUACAGACUGUCACUGCACAGAAGGAAGUCCUCGUUUAUAA